GCUUCCGGUGCAAGGAAGUCCCGGCUCUUCCGCAGAAAGUUCAGGCACCGGCCCUAGCUCCACCCCCAACCAAGGCAUGCUUUCUUCCUCAGGCUCCGCCUCCACCACAGAAUCCCGCCCCUCCGCCCGCCACUGGUGGGAAUCCUGCGAGUCUAUGCCGGUCGUCCUCCAGAAUAGGAACGGGGUUAAAGGGAGCUGGGCCGCCGUGCUGGAAUGCUGACGCUCCAGACCUGCGCCUGGAAAUCCGCCCCCGGGAAACCGAGGCCAGAACCUCGGAGAGGAACGGCCGGGCAUGCCGAAGGGACCUGUACCAGCAGUGCUGAGAUCCGGCGGCAGCGUCUCAGUUGGAACUGCUGAGGACAGAGACGUGGCCUCGGGACGGGAAGCCCGAUUCUUGGGGAAGUUGGAUCAGAUGAAGUGGAGCGCUGGCUUUCCGCUACAUUCUCAUUCGCUUUAUAGACACCUUCCCACGCUGCGAAGUGAAUUGCGUGUUCCCCAUCCCGGCGCAACUCAAGCCAGGCUCCGUCCCUCUCACCCGGUCCCGCCCUGCUCCCGGCGCUACACUUUCUGCCGGCUUAGGAAUGUGAGUUUGGCCAGAAGAGUGCACGCCUUUGUUUGCAGCACUCCGAUGCCGAGCCAGGCGGGUCUCUGAGGCCACUUCUAAUCCUCACUCCUGCCUCCAAAAAAGAAAAUUCCCAGGCUGCGAUGACAUUCCAGAGUUGUCACAUUCUUCGCAACGUGCAGUAAGGCCCUGUUGAGGCUGCAAACCAGCCUGGACACAAGAUUCUGCAUACACUGUCGACGACUUUCCUAUGACUACAUUUCUUCGCACGUGGAUCCACUUUUCUCACUGAUCUGUAGAACUGUGCGCCUGACAUCAUCUCUCUGGGACUGGAGCUGCAGGCAUAUACACCCAGUUAAAUGGUCUUGGGGAUAGCCCGCCCUCCGAUGUGCAUCCUAGGACAAGAAAACUAGGACUGGAAGGUUCUCAACUGUACAAGGAAGGGCACAAGCAAGAGCUGCAGUGACUCUGCACAGAAUAAACUCAGUGGCACCCCUGUACGCCUCAGCUGGCAACAACUUGAUGCUGUCUGGGCACCAAGUCCUUAACCACGUGGUUAAGGACUCCUGUCUCCAUCUGAAAGCCUCCAGUGCCUGCCCAGAAAGGGGCUGGCCUCCAGGUCAGUGUGAGAGUGAUGGUGGAAACGGACUCAGUGCUGUGCCAAGGCUCACAGACCCAUCCCACAUCAUGCGCUCCUGUGCGCUGAGUGAGUCAGAGCCGGUUGCUCUCUGCUGUUACUGUUUUGAGUUUUA